UGCACCCGUUCGGGUGGUGCGAAUAAGUUUCUUGUUACAAUGAGCAUUUAACGUUCCAUGUGAAGGCGUAAUACACAUGCAACCAGUUUGGACAUACGAGAUAUGACACGGUCGUGCUAACCGCGACUGAAAGCGGUGUAUGGGUUGAUUGUGUAUAAACGUAAAAGGGCUACACGGUUUUAUUAUAUCGUUUAUCAGUGUGAGUCAGGCAGCAGAGAUACUCAUUGGAUUAUUACUAUGGAACUAUAACAUGUAUGGGGAUUAACUUUCUACAUUUAAAGUCGUGAUCUGUUUUUCUGAUAAGCAUACAUUUACAACAAGGGCAUGGACAUCAGUAUUAAUAUCAGUCUUCUGAUAAUAAUUGCAGUGUUCUGUACACACUGUGAGGGUCUGUGUACACCGCCUUGUACUGGAAACUUCGUUUGUUCUGGCAGUUCAUGUAUUUGUAACACCGGCUAUUAUGGUGCCUCAUGCACAGACACCUGUGAAUCCAGCGGAGCAGGAAGCUGUCAAAACAGUGGAACUUGUGGGUCUUCAUCUCCGAAAUCCUGCUCCUGUGUAACAGGCUUUACUGGGACCCUCUGUGAAACGGAGAGUAACGUAGUGAAAAAUACACCGGUACAAAAGCACCCAUGUAACUGAAAGCUCAACAACUACAACCACAUCUACUACUACUACCGCUGCAACAUCUUCACAAAACAGUACAGCAUCCAUUUCAAUGUGUUUAUUUAGUCCAUUUAGCGCUUUUAUAACAUUUGCUUUGUUGUACAAAAUAUUGAAAUACCAGACUCGCAAUCCUGUCUAAUUUUUACUGUUAAGAUAUAAUCAAAGCUGGCUUUUCUGCGUAUUUGUUCAAUCAACUGUUUGGUAUUUCAUUUCUAUAAACAAAUAUAAAUAAAGAAAUCACAAUAUAAAAUGGUGUAAAAUCCUUUUUAUUGUAUCUUGUUGUCUGUAUUUCUGAUUCUAGAAUACAGAUAUCGGGGUCCUAGUUGCUAGUGAUUUGACAUUCUUGAAUAAUCAUGUACAAUCACGUCUUUUGACAUUGAAAAUACAAGCGUUAUAGUCGAUUUUAGAACAGAUGACAUUAAAUAAUUCCUGAAGAUUAAUGAAGAUCUAGACAUCGCCUUAUUAGCGUCAUCACUGAAGGCAGUACAUGUGUCUGUUGAAGGUUCCGGCUAACCUAGCAUGAAGCAUCAUACAUAAAAAUCAUUGUUCCAUUCAUAAAAAGUACCAAUUUCGUUUUAAAUGAAAAUGACACAUCCUUUUUGCAAUAACAGUUUUCCUUUCCAAUUCUGGAAGUGAAUAGGAAAUAUAUUCGAGGUUUGUUGAGAGUGCACUUCGCUUUUCGGUCUAUUCAUCAAUAUACAAAUUUACUAUCUAGUCUUAUCCUUAAUUUUCUUUUAGGAUUAUAUUUUUUCCAAUAUUAAGAAAGGUGUCAUUAUUUGGAUUCUAGAACUAUCGGCCUUACAAUAUGUUUCUCCUACAAUCUAGGUGAUGAAUAUAAUUACUGCAUUAACAUAAACGCCUUUGAGUGUUGUUUUCUUACCUAACUUAAUAAUAAUUCUUUGAACAAUGAAGCAUAUUUGUUUAGUUUAGAAUCAUAAGAGUGUGAUGAUUAAUUUUACUGAUUUGAUGUGCGAUAUUUAAUAUGUUAUUUUCUCUGUGGCUUUAAUAUCAUAUUAAUAAUUUAUUUUUUAACGAUAGAUAUAAAUCCAACUGAAGAUAUGACUUCGAUCGCUAAUGUCAUGUGUGCAUAAUUAUUUACGCAUACUUUAUAGUUACCCUAAUAAUGGUUCAAUUUCAAUCAAAUUAGGUAUGCACAUUCAUAAUGGCAUGUCCCAUGAAAAAAUCGAUCGCUGAUGUGAUUUACACAUAUAUACAUAUUUACGCAUAAUCAAUUAUGCAACUUGAUUCUGAUUGGUUAAUUGAUUCUAUGCAAUGACUAUCCAAAAAUGGUUCAAUCUCAAUCAGAUUGGGUAUGCAAAUUGAUAAUGGCAUGUAACAUUAAAAAUUUGAUCGCCGAUGUGAUGAAUGCACUUUUAUGUAUAAUCAAUGAUGCUACUUGAUUAUGAUUGGUUAAAUGUUUCCGUGCACUAACUAUCCCAGGAAUGGUUCAAUUUCAAUCAAAUUUGGUAUGCACGUUCACAAUUGCAUGCCACAUUAAAAAUUUGAUCGCCAAUGUGAUGUAUGCAUAUUUAUGCAUUAUAUGAAUAAUUAAUAAGGCUAAACCAUUAUAAUAUAUUAAUUGCUUUCCACUCAAUACCUACUCUGAAAAUUGUUCGAUAUCAACAAAAAUAGAUAUGCACAUGCAAUUUUAAAUGUCUGGCUCAAAUCGAUCGCCAAUAUGAUGCAUUAACGCACAAUUAAUGAGGCUAACUGAUUCUUUUUGUAGUUACUGCUCUUCGUGCAAAGACUGCCCUAAAUCUGUUUGAUCACCAAAGUGCCGCGUGGUAUCGAUAACCCAUAGAUAAUGAGCUACAGAAUAUCGAUUUGUUAUUUGGUUGCAAUGCAGUUACUCUCUUAAAAUGGUUCAAUACAAAAUUUCGUAUGCAGGCUCAUAUUCGGAAGUUCUACACCAACGUUGUCUACACCAAAUCUCCAUAAUCAACCACAGUUUCAACAGUGUACCGAGAGUUUGUGAUAGACAUUCUAUGGAUUUGCUUUAAUUUCAUGUUUUUACAUCUAACUAAUUAAUGCUAUAUUGGUAGGGCGAUAA
rnacentral:lncRNA from 1 species